CCUACGGGUGGCAGCAGUGGGGAAUAUUGGACAAUGGGCGAAAGCCUGAUCCAGCCAUGCCGCGUGUGUGAAGAAGGCCUUCGGGUUGUAAAGCACUUUCAGUGGGGAAGAAAGCCUUGGGGCUAAUACCCUCGAGGAAGGACAUCACCCGCAGAAGAAGCACCGGCUAACUCCGUGCCAGCAGCCGCGGUAAUACGGAGGGUGCGAGCGUUAAUCGGAAUUACUGGGCGUAAAGCGCGCGUAGGCGGUCUGAUAAGCCGGGUGUGAAAGCCCCGGGCUCAACCUGGGAACGGCAUCCGGAACUGGCAGGCUAGAGUGCAGGAGAGGAAGGUAGAAUUCCCGGUGUAGCGGUGAAAUGCGUAGAGAUCUGGAGGAAUACCAGUGGCGAAGGCGGCCUUCUGGACUGACACUGACGCUCAGGUGCGAAAGCGUGGGUAGCAAACAGGAUUAGAUACCCUAGUAGUC
rnacentral:rRNA from 1 species